rnacentral:rRNA from 1 species
CGUGGAGGACGAAGGCUUUCUGAGUUGUAAACUCCUUUCAGCAGGGACGAUAGUGACGGUACCUGCAGAAGAAGCACCGGCCAACUACGUGC